rnacentral:rRNA from 1 species
GAAUGCUGACAUAAGUAACGAUAAAGCGGGUGAAAAGCCCGCUCGCCGGAAGACCAAGGGUUCCUGUCCAACGUUAAUCGGGGCAGGGUGAGUCGACCCCUAAGGCGAGGCCGAAAGGCGUAGUCGAUGGGAAACGGGUUAAUAUUCCCGUACUUGGUGUUACUGCGAAGGGGGGACGGAGAAGGCUAUGUUGGCCGGGCGACGGUUGUCCCGGUUUAAGCGUGUAGGUGUGUGUUCCAGGUAAAUCCGGUCCACUUUAACACUGAGGCGUGAUGACGAGGCACUACGGUGCUGAAGCAACAAAUGCCCUGCUUCCAGGAAAAGCCUCUAAGCAUCAGGUAACAUCAAAUCGUACCCCAAACCGACACAGGUGGUCA